rnacentral:rRNA from 1 species
UUUAAAGGGUCCGUAGGCGGACUUAUAAGUCAGUGGUGAAAGCCUGUCGCUUAACGAUAGAACUGCCAUUGAUACUGUAAGUCUUGAGUAUAUUUGAGGUAGCUGGAAUAAGUAGUGUAGCGGUGAAAUGCAUAGAUAUUACUUAGAACACCAAUUGCGAAGGCAGGUUACCAAGAUAUAACUGACGCUGAGGGACGAAAGCGUGGGGAGCGAACAGGAUUAGAUACCCUGGUAG